UCUCUGAUAGUAUAUCGGUUAGUACACGCGCCUGUCAAGAGUGUUUCUGGUGCUACGCGCGAAAGCUGGGUUCGACUCCCAGUCAGAGAG